AGAGUUUGAUCAUGGCUCAGAUUGAACGCUGGCGGCAGGCCUAACACAUGCAAGUCGAACGGUAACAGGAAGCAGCUUGCUGCUUCGCUGACGAGUGGCGGACGGGUGAGUAAUGUCUGGGAAGCUGCCUGAUGGAGGGGGAUAACUACUGGAAACGGUAGCUAAUACCGCAUAAUGUCGCAAGACCAAAGAGGGGGACCUUCGGGCCUCUUGCCAUCGGAUGUGCCCAGAUGGGAUUAGCUUGUUGGUGGGGUAACGGCUCACCAAGGCGACGAUCCCUAGCUGGUCUGAGAGGAUGACCAGCCACACUGGAACUGAGACACGGUCCAGACUCCUACGGGAGGCAGCAGUGGGGAAUAUUGCACAAUGGGCGCAAGCCUGAUGCAGCCAUGCCGCGUGUACGAAGAAGGCCUUCGGGUUGUAAAGUACUUUCAGCGGGGAGGAAGGGAGUAAAGUUAAUACCUUUGCUCAUUGACGUUACCCGCAGAAGAAGCACCGGCUAACUCCGUGCCAGCAGCCGCGGUAAUACGGAGGGUGCAAGCGUUAAUCGGAAUUACUGGGCGUAAAGCGCACGCAGGCGGUUUGUUAAGUCAGAUGUGAAAUCCCCGGGCUCAACCUGGGAACUGCAUCUGAUACUGGCAAGCUUGAGUCUCGUAGAGGGGGGUAGAAUUCCAGGUGUAGCGGUGAAAUGCGUAGAGAUCUGGAGGAAUACCGGUGGCGAAGGCGGCCCCCUGGACGAAGACUGACGCUCAGGUGCGAAAGCGUGGGGAGCAAACAGGAUUAGAUACCCUGGUAGUCCACGCCGUAAACGAUGUCGACUUGGAGGUUGUGCCCUAGAGGCGUGGCUUCCGGAGCUAACGCGUUAAGUCGACCGCCUGGGGAGUACGGCCGCAAGGUUAAAACUCAAAUGAAUUGACGGGGGCCCGCACAAGCGGUGGAGCAUGUGGUUUAAUUCGAUGCAACGCGAAGAACCUUACCUGGUCUUGACAUCCACGGAAGUUUUCAGAGAUGAGAAUGUGCCUUCGGGAACCGUGAGACAGGUGCUGCAUGGCUGUCGUCAGCUCGUGUUGUGAAAUGUUGGGUUAAGUCCCGCAACGAGCGCAACCCUUAUCCUUUGUUGCCAGCGGUCCGGCCGGGAACUCAAAGGAGACUGCCAGUGAUAAACUGGAGGAAGGUGGGGAUGACGUCAAGUCAUCAUGGCCCUUACGACCAGGGCUACACACGUGCUACAAUGGCGCAUACAAAGAGAAGCGACCUCGCGAGAGCAAGCGGACCUCAUAAAGUGCGUCGUAGUCCGGAUUGGAGUCUGCAACUCGACUCCAUGAAGUCGGAAUCGCUAGUAAUCGUGGAUCAGAAUGCCACGGUGAAUACGUUCCCGGGCCUUGUACACACCGCCCGUCACACCAUGGGAGUGGGUUGCAAAAGAAGUAGGUAGCUUAACCUUCGGGAGGGCGCUUACCACUUUGUGAUUCAUGACUGGGGUGAAGUCGUAACAAGGUAACCGUAGGGGAACCUGCGGUUG
rnacentral:rRNA from 1 species